CUCUUACCCACAAUCCUCUGUGGUGCUGGGAUUGUGAGAUUUACCAUUCUCGAUGGCUUUUAAAAAACAAUAGCCUGUUCUACUUUUCAGACUAGUUUCGUUCACGUUUUAGUCUACCAAAAAUUAUUCUCUGUUUCACACGAGUCAAAACCAAACGUAUGUUCACUUGCAGAUGUGUGACUAAUUAUGAAAGAACGUCGAUGGACCAAAGCCAAAUGCAGGAAGGGGCGUCAUCUGUUUAUCCACUUUGGCAAAAUGUCAUGGCAGAAGAAGAUGCAUCCUCGUUUCGAGACAGGUUGCAGUAUCUUCCCGGCCGCCAGGGGACGUCGUGCCGUUGUUACGCGGGUUGGACAGGAGAGAGAUGUAGCGUUGGAAUUCAUGAAGAGUUGUGAAAAUAAACCAAUAAAUAAACAAACAAAUAGAUAAGUAAGUAAUAAACAAGAAACCUGAAUGCUAGUGUCAUGUUGUGCUGGAAACACAUUUUCUAUUUUUUUUACGGAAGCGUUGUUUUUGUACGUACUUGUUCGGAUCCAUGAGCUACUUGAUUAACUUCUCUAAUUAAACAUCCAAUGUCCAUUAUAUACCA